rnacentral:rRNA from 1 species
AUGCUGAAAUAUGAAGUAGAUAUGGAAGACAAAGAAAUGCAACAAGCAGAAUGUUGCGUACUAGAAGAGUUUCCGCCAACUACCGGGCCAAAAGAACAUAUUAUGCAUGCGGCAACCACACAAGAGCAUGAAGUUAUUGAUAUAUCCAGUAAACGCAAAGAUAUUAUGGAUGUCAGCAGCCACGCCGUCGCCCAACAAUCUUUCACAGUCCAUGAACAAAAUGAUCCGCCAAUAGAACCAGAUCAACCACCACCAGACGACAAGAUACCACACCAUGCCGAAGAGGAAAUAGACGAGCAAAAUAUCAAGAGCAAUAUCACGACCACAGAGCAACUGGAACAAACAGGCACUGAUUUAAAAGAGGAUGACAGAAGCAACGACGUACCAAAUACACAACAACAGGAAGAAGUUGACGAAUUUCUUUCAAGCCUUAACCCACUACAACUAGAGGUGUACAACGACCAUAUAAAGAUGGGCUCUAACUUCGAUUUAAUCAAAACAUGGCUCAACAAGCAUGAAAGCUAUGAAUUCAACAAAAAUCCCAAGCCGUAUCUGACAAUCUUGCAGCAAGAGUCAGGAGAACAUUCAAUGCCUCAAUCAUCUGAGAACAGUUCAGACAAGAAAAUCUCGGUCAAGAAAAGGUCGGUAAAGCCUUCAAGAAGGCUCCUUGGAGAAAUCAAGAUUCCUACAUUUGUCCCAGGAGAUUUCAAAUUCAUGAACAAAGCCAGAGCACUCCAUGAAUACCUAUUCAGCAAAGAAGGACAGGACGAAUGCGGAGAUCUAAACAUAUAUAUUAGCCCGAAGCGAUAUGAUUGGAUUACAGGAAAACAAAUAAUGGCACAGCUAAUGAAAGGAGAUGAUGGACAGAUGGAGGGCUCCAUCGCGAACGCAUUGUUCGACGAAUGGACAUCGCAGCAACAAUACAACACAACCGAUAAAGCCAUACUUCCCGUAGAAUUUGCAAACGUCGUGCUCGGUGUUAAAACUGGAGAGGAAAGUGGACUAGCAGAAUUCAAUGAGGAAGAAGCAUUGAAAGAGUUUGCACCCCUUGUAACAAGCAAGGAACUUUUAAAGAAAAAGCUGAUUAUGAUACCUCACAACAAAGAUAAACACUACACAUUGUACGUGCUCAACAAGUACACGAACUCCAUCGACAUACUUGACUCACUGAAUUACAGACAUGGAGAUGGAAAAAAACAUGAUGCACGCACUAGUGAAGAAGCAUUACGGCGAAGCGGAGCUACAAGCCAACAGCGAACCAAACUGGUCGAGGAUAGCACAAACACCUAA